AAGCGCUUGCAAUCAGACUUGUAUGCAGUUGAUCAUCCGAUGUUCUCACCGGUGCACUCAGUUGUAUUCAGGCCAGCAUCGGUUUUGGUGGUUGGAUAAAGUCCUUGGGAAUGUGGCUCCCUUCGGGGAGUGUUAUAGCCCAUGGUGCAAUGCAACCUUCUAGGACCGAGGACCGCGCUUUGGCUAGGAUGCUGGCGUAAUGGUUGUAAGCGA
rnacentral:rRNA from 1 species